UCAAAACUACAGCCCGGUGGUCACUCUCCUAAUUUAGUCUCCAGGCCCCUCCCUUUGUGGUGCCGUCAGCGAUGAAGGCUGGUGGGAAAGCACCCUGUGGAAGUCGGCGACCUGGAAGCAAGGCCUGGCCCCGUCUGACUCACGGAGUGACUACGGGCAACCAAGGACCGUCAGUGUCCAGGCCCUUCUACCCACAGCCUUCAGAAGGAUGGCCAACCGCAGAGACGUUUACACCUCCCUUCCCACACGAGCCCUGAGGUCCCUGACAUCAUCUCCCCAGGGCAGAGGAGCUGGGCAGGUGCCCAGGGACGUCCCUGGCAUGUCCCUCGUUCCUCCAUCGCCCCAGCUGAAGUGCAUUAGAACACCGCCGCUCCUCCCCAGCCCUCUGAAAGGACUUCAGCUCCACCGACAUACAAAGGUUCAGCAGCGUGGCCCUGUCAAGGUCAAGGCUGGACGUACUUACAGCGUUGCACGUUGUGAGCUGUCAGAGGUUCUGCAAAGUGGGACAGCAUGCCCACCAGCUCGGGGCAACUUUUCCUCACCUGCACAGUGGGUGGACUCACCCGCCCGCCCCCAGAUGUUGCUGUAUGACUGGGUCGCCCAUCCUGUCCUCGGCCCCUUCCGGCCGCAGCCUCUGUGUAUGAGGUGUCUCUUGGGGCUGGCACGCCUCACCGUGCUGUCUUGCUCUCAGGCCCUACAAGGGGUUAAGCAGGCUGGAAGCCAGAGGCUGGACAGGGCAAGGAGGCGUCUUCAUCUGGGGCCGUGUACAGGAGGCCACGGGCCAGCCUCGUGACCAGCGGACGGGUUAGCACCUCCAGGAACCUGGCUGACGUCCCACCCACAGGACAUCUCACCCACACAUCCACAGAUGACACUCAUAUCCCAACCACCUUCCUCCUCUCUCUCCUGACCUCCAGACCUAUAGACACAGCUGCGUCCUGAGCUCCACAGCCCUUCCCGUCCUGUGUCCCCCCGAGCUAGCUCAAAUGCAACACCCCCAAAACUCAGCACACCCUCUUCCAUCCCGUGUCCUGUGUCCUCGGCUCAGAGCUGGGCACCACCAUCCCAAAUGCUCUCCAAACCUGGGCACCACCAUCCCAAAUGCUCUCCAAACCUGGGCGCCAGCCUGGACCUUCCCUUUCCCUCACUUUGAUGUCCAGGCCCUGCAGGUCCUUCUUCCCAAAUGCCUCCUGAGUCCCUGCCGCAUGGCCUCUGCUGAGUUCACGCCCCCAGCAUGCCUCGCCU
rnacentral:lncRNA from 1 species